GGCUCCCUGAAUAUAAUAUAUAGGGAGUCGGACCUGCCCAGUGAAAUAUUUUAAACGGCCGCGGUACUCUGACCGUGCAAAGGUAGCAUAAUCAUUUGCCCUAUAAUUGAGGGCUAGUAUGAAUGGUUUGACAAGAAUAAAACUGUCUCUAUAUAAUUAUAUAGAAUUUUAUUUUUAGGUGAAGAAGCCUAAAUUGUAUUAAAAGACAAGAAGACCCUAUCGAGCUUUAAAGAAAUUAAUAAAGCACAAUAAAUAUUGAUUAAAAUAAAUUUUAUUAAAAAUUUUGGUUGGGGCGACAAAGGAACAAGCGAAGCUUCUUUUAGAAUAAUGAAACUCACAAGUAUUGAUCCAAAAAAUUUUGAUUAAAGAAAUUAGUUACCGUAGGGAUAACAGCAUUAUCUUUUUUGAGAGCUCAUAUCGAAAAAAAGGUUUGUGACCUCGAUGUUGGACCAGGAUAUCCGGAAGAUGCAGAAGUCUUCAAAGGUUGGUCUGUUCGACCAUUAAAAUCCUACGUGAUCUGAGUUCAGACCGGCGUGAGCCAGGUCAGUUUCUAUCUUUUAUUAAUAAAAUAAGUUUAGUACGAAAGGACCAACUUAUGAUAUUGUUCAUGAUAUUGAUUUGUCGAUUAGGUAUAAUACAAAAAUAAAUAUAAUUAAU
rnacentral:rRNA from 1 species